AAGCGUAAUAGCUCACUAGUCGAGUCGGCCUGCGCGGAAGAUGUAACGGGGCUAAAACUAUAUGCCGAAGCUGCGGAUUUGCAAUUUAUUGCAAGUGGUAGGGGAGCGUUCUGUAAGCCGAUGAAGGUGUAUUGAGAAGUAUGCUGGAGGUAUCAGAAGUGCGAAUGCUGACGUGAGUAACGACAAUGCGAGUGAAAAACUCGCACGCUGAAAGACCAAGGGUUCCAGUCCAACGUUAAUCGGGGCUGGGUGAGUCGACCCCUAAGGCGAGGCCGAGAGGCGUAGUCGAUGGGAAAUUGGUUAAUAUUCCAAUACUUCUAUGUAAUGCGAUGAGAGGACGGAGAAGGUUAAGUCAGCCUGGCGUUGGUUGUCCAGGUGGAAGGUUGUAGGCAUGUAUCUUAGGCAAAUCCGGGGUACUCUAUGCUGAGAACUGAUAGCAAGCUGUACUUGUACAGUGAAGUGGCUGAUACCAUGCUUCCAGGAAAAGUCUCUAAGCUUCAGUUACAUAGGAAUCGUACCCGAAACCGACACAGGUGGUCAGGUCGAGUAGACCAAAGCGCUUGAGAGAACUCUGCUGAAGGAACUAGGCAAAAUGGUACCGUAACUUCGGGAGAAGGUACGCUGCCGACGGUGAUAGGAUUUACUCCUUGAGCUAUUGGCAGCCACAGAAACCAGGCCCCUGCAACUGUUUAUUAAAAACAUAGCACUCUGCAAACACGAAAGUGGACGUAUAGGGUGUGAUGCCUGCCCGGUGCUGGAAGGUUAAUUGAUGGGGUUAGCGUAAGCGAAGCUCUUGAUCGAAGCCCCAGUAAACGGCGGCCGUAACUAUAACGGUCCUAAGGUAGCGAAAUUCCUUGUCGGGUAAGUUCCGACCUGCACGAAUGGCAUAAUGAUGGGGGCGCUGUCUCCAGCAGAGACUCAGUGAAAUCGAAUUCGCCGUGAAGAUGCGGUGUACCCGCGGCUAGACGGAAAGACCCCGUGAACCUUUACUGCAGCUUGACAUUGAACUUUGAUCUUACUUGUGUAGGAUAGGUGGGAGGCUUUGAAACCGAGACGCUAGUUUCGGUGGAGCCAAUCUUGAAAUACCACCCUGGUAAUAUUGAGGUUCUAACUCUGUCCCGUUAUCCGGGACGAGGACCAUGUCUGGUGGGUAGUUUGACUGGGGCGGUCUCCUCCUAAAGAGUAACGGAGGAGUACGAAGGUGCGCUCAGCGUGGUCGGAAAUCACGCGUAGAGUAUAAAGGCAAAAGCGCGCUUAACUGCGAGACCCACAAGUCGAGCAGGUACGAAAGUAGGUCUUAGUGAUCCGGUGGUUCUGUAUGGAAGGGCCAUCGCUCAACGGAUAAAAGGUACUCUGGGGAUAACAGGCUGAUACCGCCCAAGAGUUCAUAUCGACGGCGGUGUUUGGCACCUCGAUGUCGGCUCAUCUCAUCCUGGGGCUGAAGCAGGUCCCAAGGGUAUGGCUGUUCGCCAUUUAAAGAGGUACGCGAGCUGGGUUUAGAACGUCGUGAGACAGUUCGGUCCCUAUCUACCGUGGGCGUUGGAAAUUUGAGAGGAUCUGCUCCUAGUACGAGAGGACCAGAGUGGACGAACCUCUGGUGUACCGGUUGUGACGCCAGUCGCAUCGCCGGGUAGCUAUGUUCGGAAGGGAUAACCGCUGAAAGCAUCUAAGCGGGAAGCCUACCUCAAGAUAAGAUUUCCCUAGGACUUUAUGUCCUCUAAAGAGCCGUUGA
rnacentral:rRNA from 1 species